rnacentral:rRNA from 1 species
UACGGGGGGAGCAAGCGUUGUUCGGAUUUACUGGGCGUAAAGGGCGCGUAGGCGGCGUGACAAGUCACUUGUGAAAUCUCCGGGCUUAACUCGGAACGGUCAAGUGAUACUGUCGUGCUAGAGUACAGAAGGGGCAACUGGAAUUCUCGGUGUAGCGGUGAAAUGCGCAGAUAUCAGGAGGAACACCAGCGGCGAAGGCGGCGCUCUGGGCCGGUACUGACACUGAGGAGCGAAAGCGUGGGUAGCAAACAGG